AGAGUUUGAUCAUGGCUCAGGACGAACGCUGGCGGCGUGCUUAACACAUGCAAGUCGAGCGAUGAGAUCCCUUCGGGGAUGGAUUAGCGGCGAACGGGUGAGGAACACGUGAAGAAUCUGCCUUCAACUCUGGGAUAACACCGGGAAACCGGGGCUAAUACCGGAUAUGAAACUUGGUGGCAUCACCGAGUUUGGAAAGUUUUUCGGUAGAAGAUGACCUCGCGGCCUAUCAGCUUGUUGGUGAGGUAAUGGCUCACCAAGGCGACGACGGGUAGCCGGCCUGAGAGGGCGACCGGCCACACUGGGACUGAGACACGGCCCAGACUCCUACGGGAGGCAGCAGUGGGGAAUAUUGGGCAAUGGAGGAAACUCUGACCCAGCGACGCCGCGUGCGGGAUGAAGGCCUUCGGGUUGUAAACCGCUUUCAGUAGGGAAGAAGCGAAAGUGACGGUACCUACAGAAGAAGCACCGGCUAACUAUGUGCCAGCAGCCGCGGUAAUACAUAGGGUGCAAGCGUUGUCCGGAAUUAUUGGGCGUAAAGAGCUCGUAGGUGGUUCGUUACGUCGGAUGUGAAAAUCUGGGGCUCAACCCCAGACCUGCAUCCGAUACGGGCGAGCUAGAGUUUGGUAGGGGAGACUGGAAUUCCUGGUGUAGCGGUGGAAUGCGCAGAUAUCAGGAGGAACACCAAUGGCGAAGGCAGGUCUCUGGGCCAAUACUGACACUGAGGAGCGAAAGCGUGGGAGCGAACAGGAUUAGAUACCCUGGUAGUCCACGCCGUAAACGGUGGGCGCUAGUUGUGGGAACCUUCCACGGUUUCUGCGACGCAGCUAACGCAUUAAGCGCCCCGCCUGGGGAGUACGAUCGCAAGAUUAAAACUCAAAGGAAUUGACGGGGCCCCGCACAAGCAGCGGAGCAUGCGGCUUAAUUC
rnacentral:rRNA from 1 species